rnacentral:sRNA from 1 species
CUCCGGGGGCAAGAGGUUCGACCCGAGCGAAGCGAGAGAACGUUGCGUCAGCAACGGCCCGCAGGGCGAGCCACGCAGUGGCUAGUCAUCCUCUAUCACCGACCA